rnacentral:lncRNA from 10 species
AGUCUGGCUCUGUCGCCCAGGCUGGAGUGCAGUGGCGCGAUCUCAGCUCACUGCAAGCUCCGCCUCCCGGGUUCACGCCAUUCUCCUGCUUCAGCCUCCCGAGUAGCUGGGACUACAGGAGCCCGCCACUAUGCCCGGCUAAUUUUUUUUUUUUUUGUAUUUUUAUUAGUGAUGGGGUUUCACCGUGUUAGCCAGGAUGGUCUCGAUCUCCUGACCUCGUGAUCCGGAAGACAUCGUCUUUGAAGCAGAGAGCAAGCCCUCAUUAGACACCAGAUCUGACAGUGCCCUGAUUUUUUAUUUCCCAGCCUCCAGAAUAAUCAAGAAUUGAAAGAUCAAUCAGCACAGUUCAAAAGUUGAAAGAGAUUAGAUAAAAGAUGGGUUGUGCAGAAGAACCCAAGGAAGAGAUGAAACAACUGGUAAAUAUCACAAACCAUGUGAACCCAAGCAACAGGAGAUACAACACUGAAAAAAUUAUAGUUUUCCACUCAAGCAGCUCCUCAUUUAGGAAGGGAUAUAGGUUGGAUUCUCUCUCAGGAUCAGACGUUGAAUGAAAAUUGUAGUACCUGUUUCGGAGGCAAUACUAUUAGGAGGUGGUACUACGAAACACCCCACAGAAGAGUGCAGAAAUGAGAAAGAGAUAUAUAUAGGCGCGCACGCGCGCGCGCACACACACACACACACACACACACACUAGGGAAUACUAUGCGGCCACGAAAAAAGAAUGAGAUCAUGUAUUCUGCAGGAACAUGAAUGCAGCCGGAGGCUAUCAUCCUUAGCAAGCUAACACAGGAAUAGAAAACUAAAUACCACAUGUUCUCACUUAUAAAUGGGACCUAAGUGAUAAGAACUUAUGAUCACAAAGAAGAAAACAGCAGACACUGGGGUCCACUAGAGGAGGAGAAGGGGAGGAGGGAGAGAAGCAGAAAAGACAACUAUUGGGCAUUGGGCUUAAUAGCUGAGUGAUGAAAAAUAUGUACAGCACAUCCCCAUGACACAUGUUUACCUAUGUAACAAACCUUCAUAUGUACACCCAAAUCGAAAAUAAAAGUUUUUAAAAAAAAGAAACUCAAAAUGAGUCACAGAAUUAAAAUAAGACUGAAAAGUAUAAAACAUCCAGAUGAAAACAGGAACAUUUCAGAAGCAACAAAGAUUUCUGAAUAGAACAUAGACAGCAUAAAUUAUUAAAGAAUAAGUUGAACUUCAUCAAAAUUAAUAUGAUAAGUUUUCAUCUUCAAAAGUCACUGCCAAACAAAUGAAAAGACAAGUUGUAGACUGGGAGAAAAUAUCUGCAAAAAGUAUACCAGAUAAAGGGCUUCUUUUAGUUGUAAACAUUUUACAACACAAUAAUAAAAAGACAAUCCAACAAAAACCGGCAACAUAUUUGAGAAGACAUUUAUCGAAGAUGUAUGGAUUGCAAAUAAACAAAAGAAAUGACCCUCAAUAUCAUUGGUCAUUAAACAAACACAAAAUCACAGUGAGAUAACACCACACAUCUACCGUUAUGUCUCCAAUUAGAAAAACUAACAAAGCCGUGUGUUGGCAGGAUGUGGUACAAACGGAACUCUCAUGUAUUACUGUUGAAAAUGUAAAAUGGAACAGCCACUUUAGAAAAUAAUGUCAUAGUUUCUUAUAGAAUUAAACAUACAAUUAUCAUGUGACCCUAAAAUUUCAUCCUUAGAUAAUUUAUUCAAGACAAAUAUUAAUAAAAGCAUGCCCCCAUAAAUGGACUUGAACUUGAAUGCUCACAGCAGCUUUUAAAACUGAUGCUGCUCACAGCAGUUUUUAAGCCAUAAGCCAAAAAGCUGAAAACAAUCUAAAUGUCCAUCGGUUUCUAAAUGACUAAGUAGAUUGUAGUAUAUCCACAGAAAGGUUACUCGUCAAUAAGAAGAAUACUAAUAAGGCCACAAUAUAUACAAAUCUCAAGUAGUAUGCUUAAUGAAAAAAUAUGGCCCCAAAAUAGUAUAUACUGUAUGAUGUGAAAUACAUAGCAAAUUAUCUUAGCACCUUUAUCUUUCCCGUUGGUUUACAAUGCUUUGACACUAUAUUACAAUUCUGUGUGUGUGUGUGUGUGUGUGUGUGUGUCUAUUUCAAGACUUGUUUUUUCAUUUUAUCUGUCAGUUUACAUGCCAGCAACAUUUUUUAAUGUAUAGCUUAGUAUGAGUUUUAAUACCUUUCACAUCAAAUUCUUCCAUGAAAUUCUUCUUUUACAAGAUUGCCCAAGUCACUUUUUUUUUUUUUUUUUUUGAGACAGGGUUUUGCUCUGUUGCCUAGGCUGGACUGCAGUGGUGUGAUCAUAGUUCACUGCAGCCUUGAGCUCGUGGGUUCAAGCAAUACCCCUGCCUCGGCUUCUCAAAACAUUGGAAUUACAGACAUGAGCCAUUGCACCCAACCCGAAGUGAUUUUUAAUAAGUUUGGCUUUCAGAUGAUGUUUAAGAUAAUUUUACCAACUUAAAAGGAAAAAGCUGACAACAAUAAAUUACCAAACUACCUCCAAAUGAUUUCUCAAUAAAAAAUUGUGAUAAAUUGCAGAUUACUUUAGAAGAAUUAAGAUUUUCAAAUCAGUAAGUACUUCAAUUAUGAUAUAUAAUAUGUUUUUCCAUUUAACUAAGUACAGUAAGUCCUCCCUUAGCUGCGGGGGGAUUAUGUUCCAAGUCUGCCAAUGGAUGUCUGAAACCAAGGACGCUGACCAAACCCAAAUGCCAUCAAUUGGAACAGACUUCUGUUUAUGUCUUCCACACACAAAUUUACUGUCUUUUUCAUCUUAACUAAGCACUCACCAAGCACUGUGGCCUUAACUUUUGCAGUUUGAAGUACAUCAGCAAAACUAGCAUGCAUUUCUUUUUGCUUCUUUGCAAUUUCACAGAUAGAAGACUCAUUUUUACUGUAGAUCUUAGUAACUCCCACAUAUAAUUUUUAAAUUUAUUUAGUCAAGGACAUUGACCUUUUCAAUUGAUGCCGUCUCUUUAGCAUAUCCGAAUUACCAGUAUCACCACUCUUGUGCUUUGAGGCCAUUAUUAAGUAAAAUAAGGGUGACUUGAACACAAGCAACCACAACAGUCAAUCUGAUUACACACAUGGCAGCUAAAUGACUAAUGGGCAGGGAGUAUUUACAGUAUGGAUAACUCGUAGAAGAG